rnacentral:rRNA from 1 species
CCUACGGGUGGCAGCAGUCGAGAAUCAUUCACAAUGGGGGAAACCCUGAUGGUGCGACGCCGCGUGGGGGAAUGAAGGUCUUCGGAUUGUAAACUCCUGUCAUGUGGGAGCAAAUUAAAAAGAUAGUACCACAAGAGGAAGAGACGGCUAACUCUGUGCCAGCAGCCGCGGUAAUACAGAGGUCUCAAGCGUUGUUCGGAAUCACUGGGCGUAAAGCGUGCGUAGGCUGUUUCGUAAGUCGGGUGUGAAAGGCGCGGGCUCAACCCGCGGACGGCACAUGAUACUGCGAGACUUGAGUAAUGGAGGGGUAGCCGGAAUUCGCGGUGUAGCAGUGAAAUGCGUAGAUAUCGAGAGGAACACUCGUGGCGAAGGCGGGUUCCUGGACAUUAACUGACGCUGAGGCACGAAGGCCAGGGGAGCGAAAAGGAUUAGAUACCCGAGUAGUC